rnacentral:rRNA from 1 species
UGGGGAAUAUUGCGCAAUGGGCGAAAGCCUGACGCAGCGACGCCGCGUGAGGGAUGAAGGUUUUCGGAUUGUAAACCUCUGUCAGAAGGGAAGAAACCGCACUGUGCUAAUCAGCAGUGCCUUGACGGUACCUUCAAAGGAAGCACCGGCUAACUCCGUGCCAGCAGCCGCGGUAAUACGGAGGGUGCAAGCGUUAAUCGGAAUUACUGGGCGUAAAGCGCACGUAGGCUGCUUUGUAAGUCAGGGGUGAAAUCCCACGGCUCAACCGUGGAACUUCCUUUGAUACUGCUUAGCUUGAAUCCGGGAGAAGGUGGCGGAAUUCCAGGUGUAGAAGUGAAAUCCGUAGAUAUCUGGAGGAACAUCAGUGGCGAAGGCGGCCACCUGGACCGGUAUUAACGCUGAGGUGCGAAAGCGUGGGGAGCGAACAGG